UUUGUUACGUUUUGUUAAACAAGGUAGUUUAUUGUCAGCUAUUUCAUUCUUAUUGCAUGGACGCUUCUCCGUUCACCCAGUAGGGAUAAUUACGACAACUGGAUAAUGAGCGACGAGGGUUUUUAAAAGAAGGAUUUUUUUGCUGUUUUGUCCGUUGCUUUAGAUAUCAACAUACGAAUUAAAAUGCGCACUAAAGGUUACGCAAAGAAAGACAUGAAGAACAUUAAGGGGACAUCUGAAAAAAUGACUCCUGACAACUGGGUAUUCGUGAGCUCUGUCUACUGCAACUGCAAUGUCUGCGUCAAAUAUGGGUGUGCUGACAAACCAGUGAUCUUCGUGAACCCAAAGGUAAUGCACUGCAAAAGCGAGGACUCUACAGAACCCGUUAAUCUAGGCAACGUACCUAUAGCUACU